GUGAAGCAUUGUUACUUUACUCACCCACUGCAAAGCUGUCCCCCGCGUAAUGCUUCGUUCACGUGACUUCUCCGAAUUUUACAUUUCGUUCCUUGCUGACUCCCCCCCCUACUCAAAAACCCUGAACCAUUACCCCUAUAGGGCGGCGCGGGGGCGGCGGCGGCACGCGCCCUCCCCAAGUAAUGCUUCGUUCACGUAACUUCUCCGAAAUUUUAGGAGCUCUAUAGGGUUUCGUAAGUGCGCGUUCAUGGCAUCUCCCCGCUCUGGCCUUUUUGUUCUUGAAGCCUCGUGCACGUGCGCCUUGCGGUUGCGCGAGGCAUGUUAGGAUAAGAAGGGUGAUGACCAUGUACAGAACAAACUUGCAUCAUUUGCAAUGUCCCUGUGAUGAGCAAAGGAGCAAGAAACAUUCGAAACCAAAGGAAGUUGCACUCCCAACCGCACGGCAAUUCAGUAGAUCAGAUGCUGCUUAAAACUACAGUUAGAAUAUGCAGCCAAAUCCUGCUCGGAAUAGACUUACAAGAUUCGGCACAAGCAUUACAAGACAAUCUCCCUCUUCCUUUGGAUUCUCUUAUCUAUAAUGCUGUUCUAGCAAUGAUGUAAACCCAACUCCCUCUUCCUCCAAAUUUCAAGAAAGUAUAAACAGAGAAUGGAGAGAUUAGACCCGAAAAGAGCCGAGUUAGAGUAGCAAGGACCAAGUCCUCCUAAUUCAACCACAAUCUCUCCGCUCAUUUCCCUUCGACAAAAUGGAAUAUGCACAACACGACGUGAAAGGAAUGAAAGCGUGCAAGUCAGUUAUGUGCAGGCUUUGACGUCCUGGUUUUGUUUCGUAGAUGUUGAUGAUGUUGAAGAAGAUAUAGUUGAUGACUUAUCGAGCCCUCUCGAACUUCAUCCUAAUUUUCCACUAUCAAAUGAUGGAUUUGACCAGCCAUCUUCAUGUUCCGGGCGACUUACUGUAGCGGUUUCUAUGAUGAAGAGUUUUGAAGUCCAUUCUUUGUCAACCCCUCUCGAGUUGUUAGUCUCUGCAACAAGGUUUUCAAGAAGCGAGAGUCCUGGCAAAAGCUUGCAGUGCUCAUCUGGCAGCAUUCAACCAUCAGAACUCCUCUCCUUUGCGAAAUCUCAGGUGGACUAUAUCCUGGGAGACAACCCUAGAGCCAUGAGCUACAUGGUCGGGUACGGGAACAACUACCCAAGGCAGGUCCAUCACUGGGCAACUUCCAUCGUGUCCAUCAAGGAGGAUUCGUCCAUCGUCAGCUGCUGAGCUGGUUAUGCCGCCUGGUUUAGCCGGAAAGCAAGCGAACCCAAUCUCCUCACUAGUGCUAUCAUCGGUGGUCCCGAUACAUAUGAUAACUUUGCCGUCAAAGAGACAAUUACAAGCAAAUGGAGCCUGCUACUACAACAACGCUCCACUCCUCGGCACAUUAGCCUGGUUGAGUGGUGGUCACGGCGGUUACAGUCAACUCCUUCCAGGUAUUUGAUCUUUGAAAUGUGUUGUUAUUUCAGACAAAAGCAAUGUCUCGACAUAUUUCGGCAUCUGAUGGAUGGGUUUCUAUUCAAUGCAGUGGUUGUUCCUGCGCUGUAAGCAGCCAUGGCCAAGCCAAGUCUAGCUCCUGUAACAGCUUCCAACAAGCUGUCCAUCGAGCAGAAGCUAACGGCUUCAUGGACUGCCAACAGGAGAACUUACCGCAGAUGCUAAACAGUGGUGACCAACAAAUCGGACAAGAUGCUGAAAUAUGUCAACCUGUCAAUCUCCAAGCUCUACGGUCCUCUGUGGGGACUAACCAAGUCCAGCGACUCGGACGUGUUCCCUUCCUGGAUCUAAUCCUUACCUUCAGGGAAGAGCCUCGGGUUUGUGUACAUCCGUACUUUGCCUCUAGUGGACAUCUCCAUUCUCAAGCUACACUUUGGCAUAGGAAGAUACUCCAGCUUCAUAUGUAAUUGCACAGUUUUUCUGGGUUUCAGGGAUGUAAAGAAUUGUGCAGCAAUACCUAUUGGAUAUGGCCUUGGAAAGUUCUUGCUUUCUUUCUUUUCAAAAAUUUUCGUCUUCGCUUCAAUGUCGGAACCUGCUUCCAAGCUGAAUAAGGGUGAAGAUCGGAGGACGAAAGGAGUGAAGAGACAUUACAAAACGAGUGCUAUCCUCUUUCCCCUCAACUUCGCUGGUUAAAAGAGAAAGAGUCUGAGAUGUGCCGCAGCAAAGAUGGUUUGCUGAGGAGUGAGAAAAGAAAGGGCUUCCUUAGAGUUCGUGGGGUCCCUUUUGUUUCUUGAAUUUUUUCCUUCUUGUGAUGGUGUUGUUAAAAAGCUUUGCAACAAUUUCUGUGU